GAUGAACGCUGGCGGCGUGCUUAACACAUGCAAGUCGAACGGAAAGGCCAGUGCUUGCACUGGUACUCGAGUGGCGAACGGGUGAGUAACACGUGGGUGAUCUGCCCUGCACUUCGGGAUAAGCUUGGGAGACUGGGUCUAAUACCGGAUAGGACCACCUCGUUGUUGUUGUGGUGGAAAGUUUUUUCGGUGUGGGAUGAGCUCGCGGCCUAUCAGCUUGUUGGUGGGGUAAUGGCCUACCAAGGCGUCGACGGGUAGCCGGCCUGAGAGGGUGUGCGGCAGCAUUGGGACUGAGAUACGGCCCAGACUCCUACGGGAGGCAGCAGUAGGGAAUAUUGCACAAUGGGCGGGAGCGUGAUGGAGCGACGCGGCGUGGGGGAUGACGGCCUUCGGGUAGUAGACUCCUUUCGCUAAAGACGAAUUUUGACGGUAUUUGGAGAAGAAGCACCGGCUAACUACGUG
rnacentral:rRNA from 1 species